UUGUUUGGUAGGCAGUUUCCAGGAUGAUUCUGCAGCUGUUAUUCAAUGCAAAAUAUCAAAAUAUUUACAGAAACAUACGAAGGCCGAAAAAGCAUUGCUGUUAGUGGUCUCCGAUGAUCAGUACGAUGCAACGUGUCAGGUUGCAAAUGAUGUAAUUUUAGAAGAGGAAAU